AGUGGAAUAGCUGGGUCAAAUGGUGGUUCCAUUCCAAGGACUUUCCGUACCACUUUCCAUAAUGGUUGUACCAAUUUGCAGUCCCAACAGCAAU
rnacentral:pre_miRNA from 1 species